rnacentral:rRNA from 1 species
GAUGAACGCUAGCGGAAGGCAUAAUACAUGCAAGUCGAACGGAUGUAGCAAUACAUUAGUGGCGCACGGGUGCGUAACGCGUAUGCAACCUACCUUCAUCAGGGGGAUAACUACUCGAAAGGGUGGCUAACACCGCAUAAUACUACUGAAUGGCAUCAUUUGGUAUUUAAAUCUGAGGAGGAUGAAGAUGGGCAUGCGUCUGAUUAGCUAGUUGGUGUGGUAACGGCGCACCAAGGCGACGAUCAGUAGGGGAACUGAGAGGUUGGUCCCCCACACUGGCACGGAGAUACGGGCCAGACUCCUACGGGAGGCAGCAGUAGGGAAUAUUGGUCAAUGGUGGGAACACUGGACCAGCCAUUCCGCGUGCAGGAAGAAGGGUCUCUGACUUGUAAACUGCUUUAGCAAGGGAAGAAAAAGCUCAUGCGUGAGAAAUUGACGGUACCUUGAGAAUAAGCACCGGCUAACUACGUGCCAGCCGCCGCAGUAA